AUUGAACGCUAGCGGCAUGCUUUACACAUGCAAGUCGAACGAGUGGCGGACGGGUGAGUAAUAUAUCGUAACGUUCCCAUUAGCGGGGGAUAACUACUUGAAAGCGUGUCUUAUUCCGCAUUCUCUUUUUGCGGCCGAUAUCUGAUUAGGUAGUUGGCGGGGUAUAGGCUCACCAAGGCAACGAUCCGUAGCCGGUUUGAGAGGAAGACCAGCAACACUGGGACGUGGAAACGGCCCAGACUCCUACGGGAGGCAGCAGUGGGGAAUUUUGGACAAGGGGGGAAAUCCUGAUCCGGCAAGCCCGCGUGUAUGAGAAGGCCUUCGGGUUGUAAAGUACUUUUGGCAGGGAAGCGGUAUCUGAAGAGUAAGCACCGGCUAACUACGUGCCAGCAGCCGCGGUAAUAC
rnacentral:rRNA from 1 species